rnacentral:miRNA from 12 species
AGUUGGUUAAGAUUCUCUUUUUG